rnacentral:rRNA from 1 species
GGAAUAUUGGACAAUGGGCGAAAGCCUGAUCCAGCCAUGCCGCGUGUGUGAAGAAGGUCUUCGGAUUGUAAAGCACUUUAAGUUGGGAGGAAGGGCAUUUACCUAAUACGUAAGUGUUUUGACGUUACCGACAGAAUAAGCACCGGCUAACUCUGUGCCAGCAGCCGCGGUAAUACAGAGGGUGCAAGCGUUAAUCGGAAUUACUGGGCGUAAAGCGCGCGUAGGUGGUUUGUUAAGUUGGAUGUGAAAUCCCCGGGCUCAACCUGGGAACUGCAUCCAAAACUGGCAAGCUAGAGUAUGGUAGAGGGUGGUGGAAUUUCCUGUGUAGCGGUGAAAUGCGUAGAUAUAGGAAGGAACACCAGUGGCGAAGGCGACCACCUGGACUGAUACUGACACUGAGGUGCGAAAGCGUGGGGAGCAAACAGGAUUAGAUACCCCUG